CAGCCGCCGCGGUAAUACCGGCGGCCCGAGUGGCGGUCACUAUUAUUUGGCUUAAAGCGUCCGUAGCCGGGUUGGGAAGUCCUCCGGGAAAUCUGGCCGCUUAACGGUCAGAAUGCCGGAGGAUACUCCCAGCCUAGGGAGCGGGAGAGGCCGAGGGUAUUCCCGGAGUAGGGGGGAAAUCCUAUAAUCCCGGGAGGACCACCUGUGGCGAAGGCGCUCGGCUGGAACGCGUCCGACGGGGAGGGACGAAGGCCAGGGGAGCAAACCGGAUUAGAUACCCGGGUAGUCCUGGCUGUAAACGAUGCGGACUUUGUGUCGGACAAGCUAUGAGCUUGUCCGGUGCCGGAGGGAAACCGUUAAGUCCGCCGCCUGGGGAGUACGGCCGCAAGGCUGAAACUUAAAGGAAUGGCGGG
rnacentral:rRNA from 1 species